UGAAAUAGUUACUGAUGUUGGCCCGGUUUCACUCAGAGAGGAAGACUGCUUACUGCUGCAUCUGCAUGUACGUAGGAACGUACGUUGUGGUUGGUCUCCUGAAUCUGAUUGAGCCGCGCCAAUAUCUCAGUGCUCUUUCA